CAAUAUAUUGUGUGUCCUUAUAGUUAACAUGCAGUGUUUUUAAACAAUGUGUAUUUUACAUUUAUCCUGGUGACUUCCAGUGUUAAUGCAUUAAUGCAAACAUGGCUUUUUUAUUUUUAGAAACCGACAGAUGAAUGUUUUUUUCUGUGGCAAUUAACACCAUCUGUGCCAUUAGAGAUUGACUUGAACCUGGAAGAUUGUAUGAAGAAGUAUGACACAAAAAGGGAUAAUUUGAGAUGAAAUCUCGUUCUGUCUUUUUAUAGAUAAGCUAUUUUUCCCUUGGGCAGAAAGCAAUAGGACAUCUGGUUGCAGCUCCAUCAAGGAGGCACAACAAGAGACAUUUAAUGUUCUUUUUCAGAUUACAGGGCUCCGUAUGGAAACACAUCUGUGUGACACAGAACAUGUUGUUAGUGGAUCUUACAGGAUAUACUAAAUCCCUGCUUUCACCCCUCAAGCUGAAGAAUGCAAUGAACCUAGAGAGGAUUGUUAUGAUGGGUAUUUGUGUUUGUAAAUGGCUGUAGGCAUAUAUUUUGUCUUUCUAUGAUUUGUAAUUGUGUUUUUGCUCACAGUGAGAGCAUAGAAAGUAUGUAUGUGUGUUUAUGGAUGGUGGAAUUAAGCUUUUACCCUCUGUGUGUAAAACAGCUCAGCCCAAGGACACUCUUUGAUCCCAUCAUUGUCUCGGCCUGGAAGAAAGAAAGCAAGUUUACAUAGCCUGAUGGGUUAAAUCUGCCAAUUAUGAUUUCUUAGGCCAACAUCAACCCACACGUUCCAGAGAAGUUGGGACAUUUUGUCCCCAACUAAGCAAGCCAGAGGCGACAGCAGCAAGGAACCAAAACUCCAUCAGUGACAGAAUUGAUAAAAAAAACCUUGGGAGAAACCAGGCUCAGUUGGGGGGCCAGUUCUCCUCUGGCCAGAUGAACCAGCGGUUGUUCAAGCAAAGUCAGGUUGUGCAGAGGACUCAUCUGGUUCCUGUGGUCUUGUCCCGAUGGCUGUCUUGGAGACAAGGUCUUCACUGGGGAUCUGUCUCUGGGGCUCAUCUAGUUGUUCCGGGCUCCGCUGACAUUCAGGGCUGUUGAGGUCAUCUCUAGGUUCUGAUCCACCAUCUGAUCUGGAUACAGACUGGAUAUGGUGGCUACGGUGACCUCGGAAUAAGAAAGAAUUAGUGUAGAUGCCAUUUUUCUAUUGAUGUAACAAGUACAUCGGGUGUUAUGGGAAGUGUUCCUGGUUCCGGCUGGCCUAAUGCAGCCUAACAAUCCUUUAACGGAUUUGAAUAUUAUAUAUGUGUUAGUGUGUUAUGUGAAAACCAGGUUAAAGUAAACUAGAUUUAAACUGACAGAGUGUGUCUGUCUCCCGAACAAUGUUUGGAAGAUUAUUCCAGAGUUUGGGCGCUAAAAAGGAAAAGGUCAUGAAUGCAAGAAUUAACAUUUCUGCAUUUGACAUUGAGAGCACAGGUCGUAAUUUAGGUAUAUUUUUG
ensembl:lncRNA